rnacentral:rRNA from 1 species
UGGGGAAUAUUGCACAAUGGGGCGCAAGCCUGAUGCAGCCAUGCCGCGUGUGUGAAGAAGGGCCUUCGGGUUGUAAAGUCACGUUUCAGCGAGGAGGAAGGUGGUGAGCUUAAUACGCUCAUCAAUUGACGUUACUCGCAGAAGAAGCACCGGCUAACGUCCGUGCCAGCAGCCGCGGUAAUACGGAGGGUGCAAGCGUUAAUCGGAAUUACUGGGCCGUAAAGCGCACGCAGGCGGUUUGUUAAGUCAGAUGUGAAAUCCCCGGGCUCAACCUGGGAACUGCAUUUGAAACUGGCAAGCUAGAGUCUCGUAGAGGGGGGUAGAAUUCCAGGUGUAGCGGUGAAAUGCGUAGAGAUCUGGAGGAAUACCGGUGGCGAAGGCGGCCCCCUGGANGAAGACUGACGCUCAGGUGCG